rnacentral:rRNA from 1 species
AUUGAACGCUGGCGGCAGGCCUAACACAUGCAAGUCGAACGGUAACAGGAAGAAGCUUGCUUCUUUGCUGACGAGUGGCGGACGGGUGAGUAAUGUCUGGGAAACUGCCUGAUGGAGGGGGAUAACUACUGGAAACGGUAGCUAAUACCGCAUAACGUCGCAAGACCAAAGAGGGGGACCUUCGGGCCUCUUGCCAUCGGAUGUGCCCAGAUGGGAUUAGCUGGUAGGUGGGGUAACGGCUCACCACGGCGACGAUCCCUAGCUGGUCUGAGAGGGUGACAGGCCACACGGGAAUGGAGAACGGUCCCGACUCCUAAGGGAGGCAAGAGGGGGGAAUUUUGGAAAAUGGGGGGAAGCCUGAAGGAGGCAAGGCGGGUGGUAUGAGGAGGGCUUUGGGGUGUAAAAGUCUUUUAUGAGGGAAGAAAGGAGGUAAAGUUAAUACCUUGCGUCUUGAAGGUACCCCGAAAAAAAGCCACGGCUAACCACGUG